CGCCAAUAAACCAUAAAGAAGAAUAAGAAGAUGAAGAAGAAGGAAGAAGCAAACGCAACAAUGGCUGAGGAAGAACAACAACCAUUGAAAAAACUGCCCAUCCCUCGUUUACCAACAACAGCUUACACGGCAAAGACAUGCAAACGGAAUCUGACCAAUGACGAAAAGCUAGCUAAAAGGAACGAGAGCCGAGCCCGCGAUAAAACCAGAGUAAACAUCGGAGAGGCCUACCCGACGUGGAGACAGCUAAAGGAACGGAAAGGAUUCAAAACCGAUGCAGAGUUAGCCAUAUUCCUGAUUGAGAGAUAUCAUGCAGAUUCUUUGGCUACAACAUCAACACCAGCCAAACAUUGGUUCUUAGACUACGACACAUCUGCUUCCCAACCCUAUCCAGUAUUACUGGCGUGUCACUCUCAGAUGGAGUGUGACCCCCAUGACACACUGAGUACCUGAAUACCAUGGUGCCCAUCAUUCAUCAGCAUUUGGAGGAAAAGGUUGACCUGCGCCCCAACCUGCGUCCUUCUCAUCUGUCCAUUGCGGCCUUAAAGCCUCUGAACACCCACACAGGCAAUUUCAGGUAUUGUGGCUGAUUAGACCUCUGCUCAGGUUAAAGUGGGCCGGAGCUUAGAUGGGAAUUUAUUAGGUCACAAAUCUUUUCUAUCAAUCAGAAUGAUACAUGUGUCAUUUGUCCUAUACUAUCAGGUGCAACAGUCAAUCAAUCAGUUCAUACACACCCACACAGUCCUGGAAGAUUAACUCAAAACAACUGUGUGGGAUUUCAGGGACUUUAACUUCUGCUCUUGAGUUUGAUGUGUUGGCUGGACUAAGGACAUUUGCAGUACUGGUGUUUGUCUACUAGCUGGCUCAUGCUGCUUCAUAAAGAGUUGAAUUGAUGGCCUAUGAUAUCCCAAGGGCCACAAUCCAUGACAUUGUGCACAGAAGAUGCAGAGCAGUCAUCAGGAUACUGGGGCAAACUGUCCACUUCCAAAAGAUGACCAGCUGCCUUUCUUCACAACAUCUGUCUGGACGAUGGCGACUUGGUCAAUGAGGAUAUGAUAGAGCCUAGAGGGACAAUGGAGUACUUGGGUUAAGGGGUUAGGGUUAGGUUUAGUGAAAUCUGUGCUGAAAUAGGAUCAGACACACAUUGUUUGCAGCUGUUUCAGCUCAAGAGGUUGCUACAAGUAGAUGACUAUUUCUAAAUAGGUGCAAAUACUAUUUGUAGUAAAGCCUGUCCUCCCAAGGCCCCAAUCUUUUUCUUGUAAAUAGUUACAUGCAUUUACAUACUUGUACACAGGCUCUUCUUUGCAUUCAGUAUGACUCCAAAGCUCUGCUGUGAUACAGCAGAUGUUGAGCUGGUCCAAUGAUGACCCUGUGGCUAAAAGCCAAAAUGUUGGAUGGAGCAGUGAGGACUUCCAGUAGCAGAAGAAAUGUAAAAAAGGAGCACAGCUCAUAACAAUGUGAAGAUCAAUACAAUAAUGGGGGUGCUUCAGUAUUUUAGAUGGAAAUGAAUUUAAUUUCUUGUUAUAUGAAAAAUAUGGAGAAUUCUCAUGAAAUGUUCAGAAACCUUUGACCUCAGUGUGACAAAAAUUAAAGCACAGAAAUGUUACAAAUUGAAAAACUGUGGUC
ensembl:lncRNA